GAUGAACGCUGUCGGCGUGCCUAAUACAUGCAAGUCGAGCGAACAGAUAAGGAGCUUGCUCCUUUGACGUUAGCGGCGGACGGGUGAGUAACACGUGGGUAACCUACCUAUAAGACUGGGAUAACUUCGGGAAACCGGAGCUAAUACCGGAUAAUAUUUCGAACCGCAUGGUUCGAUAGUGAAAGAUGGUUUUGCUAUCACUUAUAGAUGGACCCGCGCCGUAUUAGCUAGUUGGUAAGGUAACGGCUUACCAAGGCGACGAUACGUAGCCGACCUGAGAGGGUGAUCGGCCACACUGGAACUGAGACACGGUCCAGACUCCUACGGGAGGCAGCAGUAGGGAAUCUUCCGCAAUGGGCGAAAGCCUGACGGAGCAACGCCGCGUGAGUGAUGAAGGUCUUCGGAUCGUAAAGCUCUGUUAUUAGGGAAGAACAUACGUGUAAGUAACUGUGCACGUCUUGACGGUACCUAAUCAGAAAGCCACGGCUAACUACGUGCCAGCAGCCGCGGUAAUACGUAGGUGGCAAGCGUUAUCCGGAAUUAUUGGGCGUAAAGCGCGCGUAGGCGGUUUUUUAAGUCUGAUGUGAAAGCCCACGGCUCAACCGUGGAGGGUCAUUGGAAACUGGAAAACUUGAGUGCAGAAGAGGAAAGUGGAAUUCCAUGUGUAGCGGUGAAAUGCGCAGAGAUAUGGAGGAACACCAGUGGCGAAGGCGACUUUCUGGUCUGUAACUGACGCUGAUGUGCGAAAGCGUGGGGAUCAAACAGGAUUAGAUACCCUGGUAGUCCACGCCGUAAACGAUGAGUGCUAAGUGUUAGGGGGUUUCCGCCCCUUAGUGCUGCAGCUAACGCAUUAAGCACUCCGCCUGGGGAGUACGACCGCAAGGUUGGAACUCAAAGGAAUUGACGGGGACCCGCACAAGCGGUGGAGCAUGUGGUUUAAUUCGAAGCAACGCGAAGAACCUUACCAAAUCUUGACAUCCUUUGACAACUCUAGAGAUAGAGCUUUCCCCUUCGGGGGACAAAGUGACAGGUGGUGCAUGGUUGUCGUCAGCUCGUGUCGUGAGAUGUUGGGUUAAGUCCCGCAACGAGCGCAACCCUUAAGCUUAGUUGCCAUCAUUAAGUUGGGCACUCUAAGUUGACUGCCGGUGACAAACCGGAGGAAGGUGGGGAUGACGUCAAAUCAUCAUGCCCCUUAUGAUUUGGGCUACACACGUGCUACAAUGGACAAUACAAAGGGCAGCGAAACCGCGAGGUCAAGCAAAUCCCAUAAAGUUGUUCUCAGUUCGGAUUGUAGUCUGCAACUCGACUACAUGAAGCUGGAAUCGCUAGUAAUCGUAGAUCAGCAUGCUACGGUGAAUACGUUCCCGGGUCU
rnacentral:rRNA from 1 species